rnacentral:pre_miRNA from 1 species
UCUUACGGAUGAGAAAAUAAAGUGGUUUCUUGAGAUGGAAUCUAUUCCUGGUGAAAGUGCUGUGAA